ACACAGCGUCAGAUCUGUGGAAGUUGAACCUAAGGAUAGAGUUGAGACCAACCAAGAGUUAAAUGGUCAACUCCACUCCACAUUUGCCGAGUCUCUGUUCUGUGGGCCCUAAUAGAAAGUCGCCAAAACGGUUCUUCUGGGGCCAGGACCUAUUGCUGAGAGUGGCAAGUCAGGAGUAAAGCAAAAAGAGGGCAGGACUGGACUCAUGUCCAGUUGCACAGCCCUGGUUGUGCCAUGUCUCUGGGCUGGGAGGCAGCCGCCUGGUCACUGGCCCUUGGGCCAUUUAAAACACAGGACCACGGAAGUAGCAGGCAGGGCUCAUAUCUGGGGGAUUAGCUCCAUCUGCCCUGAGUGUAGUGGAAACCUUGCGUCCUUCCUCUUCCCUGGGCCUCCUCCUGGUGCCUGUCCCCAGCAGUCCCUGGCAGCCUCAUGUCCGCCUGGCCGUGAUGUCAGGUCUAAUUUAAGCCAGGGACCUGGUGAUCCUUUCCACAGCCCACUGGGAAGGCCUACGUGUUGCUUAAAAACAAACCAACAGCUCUCUGCCACCAUGGGUUCUACAGACCUGGGGAUAUAUGGUAAGGGCCUGUUGUGGAGGUUGUAACUCUUUGUCCUUUAGGAUUCCCCAAGUAGACCACGUGUGUGCCAGCCCAGCAGGCAAACUGCCCCAUAUGUGUUUGUCCGUCAACUGUGCGUGCAGAGCUUUACUCGCGUGCAUGACACAGGAAGCCCACGGGACGCUCCCCCAGCACGCCCCGCUGCCUCGGCACUCCUGGAAGGAAGACCUGUUCUUGUUUCUUCCGUACUCUCAGGAUCUGGCACAGAACCCGACAAAGGAUAUGACUUGCAGAUGUCGAGAUGGAACCUCACCAGGGCUUCCUUCUGAAAGGAAACUUCCAGAAAGCAGCAGACAGACCACAGAACAUCCUUCCUAGAAAAAGAUAAGUCGUCUAUAGACCAGCAACAGCUCUGAUCACAUGACUGCAAGCAAGGUUUCCAAAGAAAUCAAAAUGAUAGCUUAAAGAAUGAGCAUGGAAAAUUUCUUUGUAGAAAGAUUCAAAUUCACAAUGUGACCAAUUAAAAGGAAUCCUAGCGUA